AGAGUUUGAUCCUGGCUCAGGACGAACGCUGGCGGCGUGCCUAAUACAUGCAAGUCGAGCGAACCCUUCGGGGUUAGCGGCGGACGGGUGAGUAACACGUGGGCAAUCUGCCUGUCAGACUGGAAUAACACUCGGAAACGGGUGCUAAUGCCGGAUGACACACGGGAAGGCAUCUUCCUGUGUUGAAAGGUGCAACUGCAUCGCUGAUAGAGGAGCCCGCGGCGCAUUAGCUAGUUGGUGAGGUAACGGCUCACCAAGGCGACGAUGCGUAGCCGACCUGAGAGGGUGACCGGCCACACUGGGACUGAGACACGGCCCAGACUCCUACGGGAGGCAGCAGUAGGGAAUCUUCCGCAAUGGGCGCAAGCCUGACGGAGCAACGCCGCGUGAGCGAAGAAGGCCUUCGGGUUGUAAAGCUCUGUUGCUCGGGGAGAGCGACAAGGAGAGUGGAAAGCUCCUUGUGAGACGGUACCGAGUGAGGAAGCCCCGGCUAACUACGUGCCAGCAGCCGCGGUAAUACGUAGGGGGCAAGCGUUGUCCGGAAUCACUGGGCGUAAAGCGUGCGUAGGCGGUUGUGUAAGUCUGGAGUGAAAGUCCAAGGCUCAACCUUGGGAUUGCUUUGGAAACUGCAUAACUUGAGUGCUGGAGAGGCAAGGGG
rnacentral:rRNA from 1 species